GACGAACGCUGGCGGCGUGCUUAACACAUGCAAGUCGAGCGGUAAGGCCCUUUCGGGGGUACACGAGCGGCGAACGGGUGAGUAACACGUGGGUGACCUGCCCUCAGCUCUGGGAUAAGCCUGGGAAACCGGGUCUAAUACUGGAUAUGACUCCAUGACGCAUGUUGUGGGGUGGAAAGCCUUGUGCGGCUGAGGAUGGGCCCGCGGCCUAUCAGCUUGUUGGUGGGGUGANGGCCUACCAAGGCGACGACGGGUAGCCGGCCUGAGAGGGCGACCGGCCACACUGGACUGAGACACGGCCCAGACUCCUACGGGAGGCAGCAGUGGGGAAUCUUGCGCAAUGGGCGAAAGCCUGACGCAGCGACGCCGCGUGA
rnacentral:rRNA from 1 species